UGGGGAAUUUUGGACAAUGGGGGCAACCCUGAUCCAGCCAUGCCGCGUGAGUGAAGAAGGCCUUCGGGUUGUAAAGCUCUUUCGGCCGGGAAGAAAUCGCAUAGGCUAAUACCCUGUGUGGAUGACGGUACCGGAAUAAGAAGCACCGGCUAACUACGUGCCAGCAGCCGCGGUAAUACGUAGGGUGCGAGCGUUAAUCGGAAUUACUGGGCGUAAAGCGUGCGCAGGCGGUUUCGUAAGACAGAGGUGAAAUCCCCGGGCUCAACCUGGGAACUGCCUUUGUGACUGCGAGGCUAGAGUACGGCAGAGGGGGGUGGAAUUCCACGUGUAGCAGUGAAAUGCGUAGAGAUGUGGAGGAACACCGAUGGCGAAGGCAGCCCCCUGGGCCGAUACUGACGCUCAUGCACGAAAGCGUGGGUAGCAAACAGGAUUAGAUACCCUGGUAGUCCACGCCCUAAACGAUGUCAACUAGGUGUUGGGUGGGUAAAACCAUUUAGUACCGUAGCUAACGCGUGAAGUUGACCGCC
rnacentral:rRNA from 1 species